rnacentral:rRNA from 1 species
GACGAACGCUGGCGGCGUGCCUAACACAUGCAAGUCAGGGAGAAGGAGGUAGCAAUACUUCCGGAAACCGGCGCACGGGUGAGUAACACGUAGGUAAUUUACCCUUGGGCGGGGAAUAACCACGCGAAAGCGUGGCUAAUACCGCAUAAUGCAACGAGACCGCAUGGCCUUGUUGUUAAAGAUCCGCAAGGAUCACCUGAGGAUGGACCUGCGCCCGAUUAGCUAGUUGGCGGAGAAUAGCCCACCAAGGCGACAAUCGGUAGCCGACCUGAGAGGGUGAUCGGCCACACUGGAACUGAGAUACGGUCCAGACUCCUACGGGAGGCAGCAGUGAGGAAUAUUGGUCAAUGGGCGAAAGCCUGAACCAGCAACGCCGCGUGAGGGAUGAAGGUCUAAGGA